UUCCUCCACUCUGGGGCUAGAGCCCAGCAGUGCUGCCACCUGGCUCGCCUGCUCCGUCACGGGGCUCUGCCCCAUGCGCCGGGGGGCAGACACCCCCCCCCCCAUGCCGGCCCCUGCACCGCGAGGCGCCUCCCGCGACGGUGCCGCUCGUGCCCGAGCGCGGUGGGAGCCGCGGUGGGGAGAGGGGAGAGGUUUAAUCGGGCUUUGCCGGGUGCUGUGGGGCUCUUCCCGGGAAGAUGCUGCCUGCGGAGUGCUGAGCGAUGUUCCUGUUGGCCUGGCCCCGGGCGGGAGCAGUCCAGCGUGAGGUUGAAGCCCUACCAGCUCCCAGAGGACAUUUCACCCACUCUCCGCCGCUCUGAGUGAUUGCACAAGACAGCGGCAGCGCAUCAGGGCCAGCGGUUGCCUCUGGUCCCCAGUGGCGCAGCGUUUGAGCGGCUGGCAAACGUCAGAGGCACUGACCCAGUGAGAAAUGGGCUGGAUUCGAUGCUCCCCAGUGCGGCGGGGGUUCCCUGCCCUCGCACAUCGUUCGGAGCUGGGCGCGAGGUGCUGGCUUAGGGCACGGCCUCAGCUGAGGCAGCAGCAGCCUGCUGUGACGUGCUGAAUCCAUCCGAAAUGACUCAUUUUCUGAUGGUAGCAGGCGAUGGGUGAAUAGCUGGGACCAUUGCCUGCCUGGAUUUCUGUGCCGGGAUCUUUGCAGAGAGGCAGCCCUUUUCUUGGGCCGCACUUCCCUCUGGUGGAAGGCCGUAAAGAAGCAGCCCCUUCCUGGCUGGUGCCUUCCACGAAGAGAUUUAAUUUAAUGGGAAUAGCGAAACAACCCCCAAGCCCAGAGCGGGUCCAUCAGUCCUUGAGUUUUCACAUACAGGAAAAGAAACGGCCAAGCGUCAGGCAAUAAAAAUGUGAAGUGGCA